CUGUGAAGUGGAGCAAAGCNCAAAAGCCGUUCUCAGUUCGGAUUGUAGUCUGCAACUCGACUACAUGAAGCUGGAAUCGCUAGUAAUCGCGAAUCAGCAUGUCGCGGUGAAUACGUUCCCGGGCCUUGUACACACCGCCCGUCACACCAUGGGAGUUGGAAGCGCCCGAAGCCUGUGACCCAACCUGCAAGGGAGGGAGCAGUCGAAGGAGAAGCCAGCGACUGGGGUGAAGUCGUAACAAGGUAUC
rnacentral:rRNA from 1 species